GGCCCAAUGGUCUAGUGGUAUGAUUCGCCCUUCGGGUUUAAAGGACAAUCCUCACGCUCAGCGUGACUGGGCGAGGCCCCGUGUUCGAAUCACGGUUGGGCCC